rnacentral:rRNA from 12 species
AAGGGAGGGGAGCGUUCUAUAAUAGGAUAAAGUAAAAAUGAAAGUUUUUAUGGACAAAAUAGAAGUGAGAAUGUCGGCUUGAGUAACGAAAACACCGGUGAGAAUCCGGUGCCCCGAAAACCUAAGGGUUCCUUCACAAGGCUCGUCCUUGGAGGUUAAGUCAGAUCCUAAGGUCAGGUCGAAAGACGUAGCCGAUGGAAAACAGGUUAAUAUUCCUGUACUUGUCUUAUGGUAUGUCAAGGGACGAAGAAUGAAUAUGUUGGUCCAAAUUAUGGAAUUUUGGUAAAAACUCUUGAAGCAAAGAUGAUAUGAAGAAAAACGUAUUUAAGCUAAGAGAUAAUUUUGAUCAAUAAUCCUUUUAUUUUAUAAGGGGGUUGUUGGUUCAGCAGAUUUUAUUCUUCCAAGAAAAGCUUGAAUCAUUUUUAACAUAAGAGAAUCUGUACCCGAAACUGGCACAAGUAGGUAGGUAUGAUAUACUAAGGGGCUCGAGAUACUUCUCUCUAAGGAACUCGGCAAAAUGGCUCCGUAACUUCGGGAUAAGGAGUGCCUCUUCUACGGAAGAGGUUGCAGUGAAUAGGCCCAGGCGACUGUUUACCAAAAACACAGGUCUCCGCAAAAUUGUAAGAUGAUGUAUGGGGGCUGACGCCUGCCCAGUGCCGGAAGGUGAAAGAAGUUGGUGAAAGCUAGCGACUGAAGUCCCGGUGAACGGCGGCCGUAACAAUGACGGUCCUAAGGUAGCGAAAUUCCUUGCGGGGUAAGUUCCCGCCUGCACGAAAGGCGUAACGAUCUGGGCGCUGUCUCGGAGAGAAUCUCGGUGAAAUAAACAUAUCUGUGAAGAUGCGGAUUUUUUAUACCUGGACAGAAAGACCCUAUGAAGCUUGACUGUAAUCUGUGAUUGGAUCUGGGCUUUUCUUGCGCAGUCUAAGUGGGAGGCGUUGAAUAUUUCUUUUCGGAGAAAUAGGAGCCAGUCGUGAGAGACCACUCUAGAAAAGUCGAGAUUCUAAAGAUAGUCCUUGAAUCAGGAUAUCUGACAUUCUCAGGUGGACAGUUUCACUGGGGCGGUGACCUCCUAAAGAGUAACGGAGGUGUACAAAGGUUCCUUCAAGCUGGACGGAAAUCAGCUGGAGAGUGCAAAGGCAAAAGGGAGCUUGACUGCAAGACCUACAAGUCAAGCAGAGACGAAAGUCGGUCUUAGUGAUCCGACGGUUCCGAGUGGAAGGGCCGUCGCUCAACGGAUAAAAGUUACUCUAGGGAUAACAGGCUGAUCUUCCCCAAGAGUUCAUAUCGACGGGAAGGUUUGGCACCUCGAUGUCGGCUCAUCGCAGCUCGGAGCGGUAGCACGUUCCAAGAGUUGGGCUGUUCGCCCAUUAAAGCGGUACGUGAGCUGGGUUCAGAACGUCGUGAGACAGUUCGGUCCAUAUCCGGUAUAAACGUAAGAAUAUUGAGAGGAGCUUUCCAUAGUACGAGAGGACCUGGAAAGACAAACCAAUGGUGUACCAGUUCUCGUUCCAACGAGAUACGCUGGGUAGCUAAGUUUGGAGUGGAUAACUACUGAAAGCAUCUAAGUAGGAAGCCCACCUCGAGAUGAGUAUUUCUUGGUUUUUUAAUAAAGUCUCAGCAAGAAAAGCUGAUAGAUAGG